CUACGGGACGCUCCAGUAGGGAAUAUUGGGCAAUGAGCGCAAGCCUGACCCAGCAACGCCGCGUGCGCGAAGAAGGCCUUCGGGUCGUAAAGCGCUUUUCUGAGGGAUGAGAAAGGACAGUACCUCAGGAAUAAGCCUCGGCUAACUACGUGCCAGCAGCCGCGGUAAAACGUAGGAGGCGAGCGUUAUCCGGAUUUACUGGGCGUAAAGCGUGUGCAGGCGGUCUGGCAAGUUGGAUGUGAAAGCUCCCGGCUCAACUGGGAGAGGUCGUUCAAAACUACCGGACUAGAGUGUAUCAGAGGGAGAUGGAAUUCCCGGUGUAGUGGUGAAAUACGUAGAUAUCGGGAGGAACACCAGUGGCGAAAGCGAUCUUCUGGGAUACUACUGACGCUCAGACACGAAAGCUAAGGUAGCGAACGGGAUUAGAUACCCCUGUAGUC
rnacentral:rRNA from 1 species